AUUACCGGCGAAUUCUAAGUAGCGUCAUUCGGCACGUAGACACAAUCGCGUACACUUGGCAAAGCGACACACGUCGAUUUUUUUCACCAGUCCUUUCAGAAUUGCCAAAAAUUAUGUUAUCUGUUAUUUCAAGAACUGCAAUUAGGAAUGGUCAACGACUUUUGGUUCAACAGCAGCCUCUAGUGGCAAGAAAUGUAAAUACUGAUGCUGGCAAAGCAGGUGUCUGUCCAUGGAAAUGGAUUAUUGAUAGUAGGCGUUGCUGGUGCACUAGUUUCAUGGGGAAUGAUUUUUGGAAAUGGUAUGAUUAGACUAUACAGAGAACCAUCACGUUCGUUAUAUCGCAGCUGUUAUGAAAAAUACUGAGUGAACCACGCAAGCUGACGAAGAUUAUUAUUUUUAUUAGCUUAAUUUGUAUUUUAUUUAUUUUUUGCUCAUCAUUUGCCAACAUACCUCAGAGUCGGCGGUGAUGAAAUGACAAUUCACUUUUCCAGUUUGUCAAUUAUAAAUAAAUAUUUUUAAUUGUGAUUUAUAAUCAAAUAAAAUAUGAUAAUUCACUGAUUUUUACUUGA